UCAAGCUAAUAAGGGCUUACGGUGGAUACCUAGGCACACAGAGGCGAAGAAGGACGUAGUUACCGACGAUACGCUUCGGGGAGCUGGAAGCAAGCAUUGAUCCGAAGAUUUCCGAAUGGGGCAACCCUAAGUACGGCUGGUUGAAUCCAUAGACCAGCACGAGCGAACGCAGCGAACUGAAACAUCUUAGUAGCUGUAGGAAGAGAAAGAAACAUCGAUUCCCCCAGUAGUGGUGAGCGAAAAGGGAAGAGCCUAAACCAGUGGUUUUAACCAUUGGGGUUGUGGGACAGCGACAUGGAAUACCGGACGCUAGACGAAGCAAUUGAAUCUUGCACCAGAGAGAGUGAUAGUCUCGUAGUCGAAAGCGAAAGGAUACUAGCUGAAUCCCGAGUAGCACGGUAGCGACCCCGUGUGAAUCCGCGAGAACCAUCUCGUAAGGCUAAAUACUCCUGUGUGACCGAUAGUGAACCAGUACCGCGAGGGAAAGGUGAAAAGAACCCCGGGAGGGGAGUGAAAUAGAACAUGAAACCGUAAGCCUACAAGCAAUGGGAGGUCGAUUUCAACGACUGACCGUGUGCCUGUUGAAGAAUGAGCCGGCGACUUAUAGGCACUGGUAGGUUAAGGCGAGAAUGCCGAAGCCAAAGCGAAAGCGAGUCUGAAUAGGGCGUAAAUCAGUGUUUAUAGACCCGAACCCGGGUGAUCUAACCAUGUCCAGGAUGAAGCUUGGGUAACACCAAGUGGAGGUCCGAACCGACUGAUGUUGAAAAAUCAGCGGAUGAGGUGUGGUUAGGGGUGAAAUGCCAAUCGAACCCGGAGCUAGCUGGUUCUCCCCGAAAUGUAUUGAGGUACAGCGGUUGUGAUUAUAGGUUGGGGGUAAAGCACUGAUUCGGUGCGGGCUGCGAGAGCGGUACCAAAUCGAGUCAAACUCUGAAUACCAACUGCACACACAGCCAGUGAGACGGUGGGGGAUAAGCUUCAUCGUCAAGAGGGAAACAGCCCAGACCACCCGCUAAGGUCCCCAAAUCGCUGUUAAGUGAUAAAGGAGGUGGGAAUGCAUAGACAACCAGGAGGUUUGCCUAGAAGCAGCCAUCCUUAAAAGAGUGCGUAAUAGCUCACUGGUCAAGCGUUCCUGCGCCGAAAAUGAACGGGGCUAAACAGCGUACCGAAGCGGUGGGAUUUGUUUACAAAUCGGUAGGGGAGCGUUCUGUUGUAGGUAGAAGCAUCAGCGUGAGCAGGUGUGGACGAAGCAGAAGUGAGAAUGUCGGCUUGAGUAGCGCAAACAUUGGUGAGAAUCCAAUGCCCUGAAAUCCCAAGGGUUCCUCCGGAAGGCUCGUCCGCGGAGGGUUAGUCGGGUCCUAAGGCGAGGGCGAAGGCCGUAGUCGAUGGAUAACAGGUUAAUAUUCCUGUACUCGUUAUGGAUUGUGCAGAGGGACGGAGAAGGCUAAACCAGCCGGAUGUUGGUUACCGGUUCAAGCGUCCGAGGUGUUGAGGAACGGCGAAAACGUUCCGAGCUGAGGCGUGAGUACGAGGGGAUACGUCCCCGAAGUGGUUGAGGUCAAGCUUCCAAGAAAAGCUCUAAACACGUUAAUCCAUAAUGCACCCGUACCCUAAACCGACACAGGUGGGAUGGUUGAGAAUACUAAAGGGCGCGAGAUAACUCUCUCUAAGGAACUCGGCAAAAUUGCCCCGUAACUUCGGAAGAAGGGGUGCCACCGCGAGGUGGUCGCAGUGAAGAGAUCCAGGCGACUGUUUACCAAAAACACAGGUCUCCGCAAAGUCGCAAGACGAAGUAUGGGGGCUGACGCCUGCCCAGUGCCGGAAGGUUAAAUGAGUCGGUUAGCGCAAGCGAAGCUGGCGAUUGAAGCCCCGGUGAACGGCGGCCGUAACUAUAACGGUCCUAAGGUAGCGAAAUUCCUUGUCGG
rnacentral:rRNA from 1 species